rnacentral:rRNA from 1 species
AGAGUGAACGCUGGCGGUAGGCCUAACACAUGCAAGUCGAACGGCAGCACAGUGGUAGCAAUACCAUGGGUGGCGAGUGGCGGACGGGUGAGGAAUACAUCGGAAUCUACCUUUUCGUGGGGGAUAACGUAGGGAAACUUACGCUAAUACCGCAUAAGACCUUCGGGUGAAAGCCGGGGACCUUCGGGCCUGGCGCGGAUAGAUGAGCCGAUGUCGGAUUAGCUUGUUGGCGGGGUAAAAGCCCACCAAGGCGACGAUCCGAAGCUGGUCUGAGAGGAUGAUCAGCCACACUGGAACUGAGACACGGUCCAGACUCCUACGGGAGCAGCAGUGGGGAAUAUUGGACAAUGGGCGC